GGCUCGGCAGUGCGUUGGCGCACAUAUACCUCAUAUAUCUGUUUGACGAUGAAAGAGUUUAGUAGAAGGACCUUGUUCAAUUCGGGGCUGAGCCA